rnacentral:sRNA from 2 species
AUGUACUGCUCCUGCACACCGGCUCUUCCGCGCCGCCCGCAACCACCUGGCGGCUGCUUACUACGUUUUGAUAGCC